rnacentral:lncRNA from 1 species
UGAAUUUCGGUGGCACUCUCACACCUGGGACCAGCCCCAAGUCAGCAACAUCUACUCCUAGAGGAUUCUGUCCUUCCACAGCUUUCAGCCUCUCCUCUAAUCUUCUAAACAUGGGGUCCAUGCCAUGGCCCAUGCCAAAGUCUUCCUGAAGUAGGGGGAAUUGAUCGGCCUGAUCAUCAUGGACGAGCUGUUGAUCAAGGUUGAC